CAGUCGCCACGGUAAUACGAAGGGUGCAAGCGUUACUCGGAAUUACUGGGCGUAAAGCGUGCGUAGGUGGUGGUUUAAGUCCGUUGUGAAAGCCCUGGGCUCAACCUGGGAAUUGCAGUGGAUACUGGGUCACUAGAGUGUGGUAGAGGAUAGUGGAAUUUCCGGUGUAGCAGUGAAAUGCGUAGAGAUCGGAAGGAACAUCUGUGGCGAAGGCGACUAUCUGGGCCAACACUGACACUGAGGCACGAAAGCGUGGGGAGCAAACAGGAUUAGAUACCCCAGUAGUCCCUGUCUUUUAUAC
rnacentral:rRNA from 1 species